CACAUGCUCGGUCGCAUCAUAGUUUUGGCGCCAUUGCCAGAGAUUUAACGGUUUAAAGAAUUGAAUUAGACAUUAGUUCUUUAUUGAUUGUUUAUUUUAAAUUCAUUUUAUUUUUAUCUUCUCACUUGAUAUUUGUCAAUUAGGUACUUGAAGCAAAGUGGAGCAAACACAAGACCUUGAAGCAAUAAAUUUUUUUUUUUGAAGUUAUUUAAGGACUAUUUGUAUUCGGGUGUGGGCCAGGCCAACCCAUAUCCAAAAAUCCAGGGGUAUCUGAUAAGCGCCGAAUACUGUAUAUUCAAGCGCCCUAAAUUACAUUAACAAAGUUCAUUAAUUGAUUAUUUUAUGUAGAUUAUCUCCAUUUGCAUGUUUUUGUACAUUUUCAGGUUAAAUUGCAAAAAGGAAGCAAAAAUGAUGCCUUGUGGAAUUUUGAACAAAAAGGGUGCCAAUUCUGAAAUUCUGGCAGCAGUAGAACCUGACUUUUGUCGCCAUUUUUGACCUAGUAAAAUCAAGAACUAGACUUCCAUCAUAACAUGAAAGAUUUAGAGAUCUGAAUCAGCUUUACAAAUCUUCAAGAAUUUCAUCAUUCGGAGUUCGGAGCAGAGAGUUAUGAUCUUCUUAACAGAGGUACGCAGAACUGCCUGGCAGCACUGAAGUACUGCCUUUCUCCCCAUUUUCGACCAACCAGACUUGAGAAUUGGGUCUUCAUCAAAACAUAAAGUUUUUAAAGCUCUGAAUCAGCUCUCCAAAUAUUCAAACAAAUCAUCAUUCAGAGUUUGGAGCACAAAGUUAUGGUCAUUCUUCCACAGUGGGUCAGAGAUGGGCAAGAAUUGCAUGUUGCUCAUUACACUAAUUUAGAGUGCUCGAGACCACCCUUCGAGUGCUCGAAAUUCUGGCAGAUUGCACUCAGAAAUGGCUCAAUUUCAGCCACUUUCACAUUGGUUUCCUCAAUGCCAUCUUCCUUCUUUAUGAAGCGGUUAAAGGUGUUCCUUGGAAGAGAGAGAGCCUUGACUUGAGCUUGAUAAGAGAGAGGGAGGACCACACAAAAUCAUUUAUCCUUCAUUCUAGAAGAGUAGAGGAGAGAGAAGAGAGCAAGAAAGGUGUUCUUUAAGCCUAAAGAAGGGAGCUCGAAAAUGGCUUGUCCAUCCAUGCUUCUUCCUUCUUCUAGCUCACUCAUGGGUAACUAAACUCCAUCUAGGGAGGUGAUGAAGCCUCCCCUUUUGUUCAUGUUCUAGAUUAGGUUCUAUUUUGGGGAUUAUAAUGUAUAAACUUUGGUCUUUUCAUA